rnacentral:rRNA from 1 species
AUUGAACGCUGGCGGCAGGCCUAACACAUGCAAGUCGAGCGGAUGAAGGGAGCUUGCUCCUGGAUUCAGCGGCGGACGGGUGAGUAAUGCCUAGGAAUCUGCCUGGUAGUGGGGGAUAACGUCCGGAAACGGGCGCUAAUACCGCAUACGUCCUGAGGGAGAAAGUGGGGGAUCUUCGGACCUCACGCUAUCAGAUGAGCCUAGGUCGGAUUAGCUAGUUGGUGGGGUAAAGGCCUACCAAGGCGACGAUCCGUAACUGGUCUGAGAGGAUGAUCAGUCACACUGGAACUGAGACACGGUCCAGACUCCUACGGAAGGCAGCAGUGGGGAAUAUUGGACAAUGGGCGAAAGCCUGAUCCAGCCAUGCCGCGUGUGUGAAGAGGGUCUUCGGAUUGUAAAGCACUUUAAGUUGGGAGGAAGGGCAGUAAGUUAAUACCUUGCUGUUUUGACGUUACCAACAGAAUAAGCACCGGCUAACUUCGUG